GACUAUUUUAGUUCCAUGGGAUAUGGUAACACUUCUAAGCACUUGCCUAUCAGCCUAAAGCUUGAGUCCUUCAGAGCCAGAGAAAGAAGAGUUUUCACUCUUUGGGAACACCAAAUUGAACAACUAUGAAGAAAAUCAACUUCAUAAGAACCUAUGAUCAGCAGGAUAAUAAAAUCACCAUCAUGAAGAAGCCGUCUCAUGAGAAAACCCACUAUGUGAACUCCCAACACUGCUGAAGAGUCACCACCUCUAGUUUGUCAGAUAAGCUCUUCAGAUGGCCAGUUGUCCCCUUCAGGAUCCUGGGAUGGGACCAUGUACGUCUAGCAAUAUAAAACUGGUACUGGCAUUA